UGGGGAAUUUUGGACAAUGGGCGCAAGCCUGAUCCAGCCAUGCCGCGUGCAGGAUGAAGGCCCUCGGGUUGUAAACUGCUUUUGUACGGAACGAAAAGCCUCUUUCUAAUAAAGAGGGGUGAUGACGGUACCGUAAGAAUAAGCACCGGCUAACUACGUGCCAGCAGCCGCGGUAAUACGUAGGGUGCGAGCGUUAAUCGGAAUUACUGGGCGUAAAGGGUGCGCAGGCGGUCUUGCAAGUCAGAUGUGAAAGCCCCGGGCUUAACCUGGGAAUUGCGUUUGAAACUACAAGGCUAGAGUGCAGCAGAGGGGAGUGGAAUUCCAUGUGUAGCAGUGAAAUGCGUAGAGAUGUGGAAGAACACCGAUGGCGAAGGCAGCUCCCUGGGUUGACACUGACGCUCAUGCACGAAAGCGUGGGGAGCAAACA
rnacentral:rRNA from 1 species